rnacentral:rRNA from 1 species
UACGUAGGGGGGCGAGCGUUGUCCGGAUUUAUUGGGCGUAAAGGGCGCGUAGGCGGUUUCUUAAGUUUGAAGUGACAGUGGGUGGCUUAACUACCCAAGGCCUUUGAAAACUGGGGAACUUGAGGACCAGAGAGGGACAUAGAAUUCCUGGUGUAGCGGUGAAAUGCGCAGAUAUCAGGAAGAACACCCGUGGCGAAGGCGGCUCUCUGGGACGGUACUGACGCUGAGACGCGAAAGCGUGGGGAGCGAACAGG